CAACGGAGCAGUGCAGCAGUAGCGGCCAGUAGCACUGAAGCAGCCACAGCUUUCCCAAAUGUCAUUCCCUAAAGAGUCAUGGGUCCUGGAUUUUUAUUUUUUUAUUUGCUAAAUUGGACACCUGCUUUUCCUCUUAUUGAAAUUUAACUUGGAGAAUUCCCAGCUAAAGAUACUAAAGGAAUCAAGGACAGAAUUUACCAGUGCAGUGAAGAUCAAGCGUUUUCCAGGCCAGACCCAAACCAAUAAUCUACAUUUUAGGAAAGAGCAACUUUGAAGUGCCAAGGAUGACCGUUGGAUUUCUGAAUGCAAAGUAGUUUGUGAGCAUGUUAAUUGCAACCAUUACUACAAUAAAGCA